rnacentral:rRNA from 1 species
UGUACACGCUGUGACUAGCAUAUCAAUAAGCGGAGGAAAAGAAACUAACAAGGAUUCCCCUAGUAACGGCGAGUGAAGCGGGAAGAGCUCAAAUUUGAAAUCUUAAAGGGUUUCCCUUUACGAAUUGUAGUUUAAAGAAGUGUUUUCUGUUGAGGUUUUGGUAAAAGUUCUUUGGAAUAGGACAUCAUAGAGGGUGAGAAUCCCGUAUUUGACCUUUACUUUCAACUUUGUGAUACACUUUCAAAGAGUCGGAUUGUUUGGGAAUGCAGUCCAAAAUGGGUGGUAAAUUUCAUCUAAAGCUAAAUAUUGGCGAGAGACCGAUAGCGAACAAGUACCGUGAGGGAAAGAUGAAAAGAACUUUGAAAAGAGAGUUAAACAGUACGUGAAAUUGUCAAAAGGGAAGCGUUUGACACCAGUGUUGUUUUUCUGAAAAUCAAUUAAAGAACUGUUUAUGCUAAGUUGUUUAGACUUUAUCAGCUAACUGUUUAGUUCUGAGCUUUUCUUUAAUGCACUUUUCAGUUAACAAGUCAACAUCAAUUUCUUUUGCUGUAAAAAAGCUUGAGGAAGGUGGCUUGAGAUUCGUCUUAAGUGUUUAUAGCCUCUUGCCUAUGCAGUCGGAGAGAUUGAGGUCUGCAGCGUAGAUCCUUCGGGGCUAAAUGCAUUUGUGCUAAGUUAUAGCAUUUCAUAGACAACUUGUUGACUAUGAUUUGUCUUGUAGCUUACUCGCUUAUGUUAUUUUACCUACGCUUAGGAUGUUGACAGCAGUAUAGACUGU